rnacentral:rRNA from 1 species
GUCGAACGCAGUAGCAAUACUGAGUGGCAGACGGGUGAGUAUAAUGUGGGAAUCUGCCUUUUGGUUUGGAAUAACACGAGGAAACUUGUGCUAAUACCGGAUAAGCCUUUACAGGGAAAGUUUUAAUGCCAAAAGAUGAGCCCGCACUUGAUUAGCUAGUUGGUAAGGUAAUAGCUUACCAAGGCAACGAUCAAUAGCUGUUCUUAGAGGAAGACCAGCCACAUUGGGACUGAGACACGGCCCAAACUCCUACGGGAGGCAGCAGUGGGGAAUCUUGCACAAUGGGGGCAACCCUGAUGCAGCGAUGCCGCGUGAGUGAAGAAGGCCUUUGGGUUGUAAAACUCUUUCGUCGGGGAAGAAAAUGACUGUACCCGAAUAAGAAGGUCCGGCUAACUUCGUGCCAGCAGCCGCGGUAAUACGAAGGGACCUAGCGUAGUUCGGAAUUACUGGGCUUAAAGAGUUCGUAGGUGGUUAAAAAAGUUGGUGGUGAAAUCCCAGAGCUUAACUCUGGAACUGCCAUCAAAACUUUUCAGCUAGAGUAUGAUAGAGGAAAGCAGA